rnacentral:lncRNA from 1 species
UUGGGCCGAAUUAGCCCUGAAGCAAAAAACCUCCUCCUCCACAAUCUGUGUUGAAUGCCUGGAGACUGGCCUGGUUGUUUUCAAGAUCACCCUGGCCAAAGUAAUCACCAAAUGGACAGCAUCUCUGUGUAUUUAGGCAGACUAACCUUUGAAAAAUCUACCCAGUCUAUUAUCAGUUUGUCAUUCAACAACUUUGUAACCAGAGAUAAUGUUCUGGUCCAGCCUUCAAGAAUUCAAAAUUAUUUUCAUGCAUCCAUGAGCCAUUAGAACAAGACUUUGUGGAGGUAUUGGAGUGAACAGUAUCAUUUGGAAAAGGAAGAAACUAAGGCUCAAGAAAGGGAAGGAACUCAUUCAAGCUAAGGAACAACAGAGUCACUGUCUUCCCAGCCUAGGUCUGAAUCCUAAAAAGGAAUUUCAUCCCAAACAGGAGCCAGGUUUCCUUUGGUUUGGUAAUUCUUUCUUCCUCCACAAGAUAGCAUGGAGAAGCCAAGGCAGCAUGGCUUAAAUAGCCCUUUCCCAGUGACUACAAAUGACUACCAGUGAGAAGAAUAGAUAAAGAAGAGUAGUUGGGGCCUCAGAAAUAGCUGUCUGGAAUUUGUUUUAUGAAAUUGUCCCAGCCCAGUUACCUUUCAACCCUCUCCUCAGUCACAUGCUAGGCUGGUAUUAACAACAAGAGUUUAUAUUUAGGAAGUCUAACUUGAAGAGAACAAACCUGCCAUCAUCCCUAAUUGGUGGUUGGCUCCCCCUCCCUUACUGAUGGGGAAAGCUCGAGUUGCUGUAUCCUGGUCACUGUAGCUACUAAACUGCUAUGGGAGCUAUGAUUUAUAUACAACCCAUGCAAACUUGCAACAGGCUUAUAAAAAAAAAAUGAAUGCUUACAGUCUAAUUAGUGCUGAUGGCUGAUAUGCAGGGAUACAAGAGAAGUGCCCCAGAUCUCUAUAAAAUUCUCAGUGAUAAUAAGCCAGAGAUCCCAGGAGAAGGAAUGGGUUUGAUGGUUAUUAGAAACAUGUUGGUGAGAUCCAGUGGCUAGAAUGACCUAGGAAAAGAAAAGAAGAGAAAUAGG